UCAGGCCUAACACAUGCAAGUCGAACGGUAACAGGAUUAGCUUGCUAAUCGCUGACGAGUGGCGCACGGGUGCGUAACGCGUAUACAACUUGCCUCUAACAAAGGAAUAGCCCAUGGAAACGUGGAUUAAUACCUUAUAAUAUUUAGACAUGGCAUCAUGAUUAAAUCAAAGAUUUAUCGGUUAGAGAGAGGUAUGCGUGACAUUAGCUAGUUGGUAAGGUAACGGCUUACCAAGGCAACGAUGUCUAGGGGUUCUGAGAGGAUGAUCCCCCACACUGGUACUGAGACACGGACCAGACUCCUACGGGAGGCAGCAGUGAGGAAUAUUGCGCAAUGGAGGCAACUCUGACGCAGCCAUGCCGCGUGAAGGACUGACGGCCCUACGGGUUGUAAACUUCUUUUAUGUAGGAAGAAACUCAGGUACGUGUACCUGACUGACGGUACUACACGAAUAAGCACCGGCUAACUCCGUGCCAGCAGCCGCGGUAAUACGGAGGGUGCAAGCGUUAUCCGGAUUCAUUGGGUUUAAAGGGUACGUAGGCGGAUAUAUAAGUCAGUGGUGAAAUCCCGGAGCUCAACUUCGGAACUGCCAUUGAAACUGUAUAUCUUGAAUUUGGUUGAAGUGGGCGGAAUAUGACAUGUAGCGGUGAAAUGCAUAGAUAUGUCAUGGAACACCAAUAGUGAAGACAGCUCACUAAGC
rnacentral:rRNA from 1 species